UACGAAAGGGGCUAGCGUUGUUCGGAAUCACUGGGCGUAAAGCGCACGCAGGCGGGUCGAUAAGUCGGGGGUGAAAGCCCGGGGCUCAACCUCGGAAUUGCCUUCGAUACUGUCGGUCUCGAGUCCGGGAGAGGUGAGUGGAAUUCCUAGUGUAGAGGUGAAAUUCGUAGAUAUUAGGAAGAACACCAGUGGCGAAGGCGGCUCACUGGCCCGGUACUGACGCUCAGGUGAGAAAGCGUGGGGAGCAAACAGG
rnacentral:rRNA from 1 species